rnacentral:rRNA from 1 species
UUUCGCAAUGCCCGAAAGGGUGACGAAGCGACGCCGCGUGCGGAAAGAAGGCCUUCGGGUUGUAAACCGCUGUCGGGAGUUAAGAAAUGCAAGGACGUUAAUAGCGUUCUUGCUUGACUAAGGCUCCGGAGGAAGCCACGGCUAACUCUGUGCCAGCAGCCGCGGUAAUACAGAGGCGGCAAGCGUUGUUCGGAAUUAUUGGGCGUAAAGAGCACGUAGGCGGCUAUGUAAGUCGGUUGUGAAAGCCUUCCGCUCAACGGAAGAACAGCAUCCGAUACUGCAUAGCUUGAGUGCGGGAGGGGAGAGUGGAACUUCUGGUGGAGCGGUGAAAUGCGUAGAUAUCAGAAGGAACGCCGGCGGCGAAAGCGACUCUCUGGCCCGCAACUGACGCUGAGUGUGCGAAAGCUAGGGGAGCAAACGGGAUUAGAUACCCCGGUAGUCCUAGCCGUAAACGAUGGGCACUAAGUAGAGGGGUUAA